CCAUUCUGAUACCACUCACUAGAAGAAGAUGACAGAACCAAUAAAAACGACAUAUAGUCAGCCAUUAGAGUUGUGUCGUUUUUUUGAAAAACAUUGUCGUUACAAAAGAUCUGCUUCCAUUCAUCACAAGAGAAGUUUCGAGCAGGUUGUGAAGGAUUGGUACUGCUCCCCAUAGUGACAGCUAAUCAGGCACUGGAACUGUGUCGUUUACUCAUAAAAUGUUGUCGUAUGAUAUAUAUUUGCUUCCAUUCCCUGCAUGCAGGCGAAGUUUCGAGUAGGUUAUGAAAGAUUGAUGGUCACCAAUCGAUCGGACUAAUAUUCGAAUAGUAUGCUUCUCAAAGCCAAGAUGGAGCACUGUGCAAAGCUCUAAAAACAUGCAUGCAUGACCAAGUAAUUAUUUGAACACACACAAACACACACAAAAGAAAAACAGAGAGAAAAAAAAAAGCCUCCCCAGUGGAAGACACAGCCUAAGAAGAAUCCAAAGCAGCAGGGUAACUGAUUUUCUCUGCCCCUCUUUAAAAAGUAUGGAAAGAACCUGGUCAAAAGUUCCAAAUUACCAUGUCAUUCUGUAGCUUCUCAAAAUUUGGACAUACAUACAGCUUCUAAAGCGAUCCUAUGAAUCCGUUAGAUAUUGAGCACCAUCCAUCGUUUUACUUAGGAUGCAUUCGAAGCUAAUUUUUAGACACGGCAAUGUCCAUGCCAUAACAGUACAUCUCUGAUGACACUCGAAGAGAAGUCCUCGCAACACCUGUCACACGUACACACCCGCCCCAGCCACGUGUGAGCAAACCAACUAGAAAUAGCCGAGAGCUUAGAUCUUCGGUGCUGCAACGACAACCCUCCUCUCAGCUAAUCCAACCUUUCCUCAUCUUUCUUUCAUGUCUUCGUGCCAAUCAGACAAAACCUUCUUUCCUCAGCUAAAUCUAGUCGCUUUUUUUCGUUACAUCGUUGUUCACACCUUUCCCUACAAGUGUCAAUAUCUCCCAUCUCCAUGGGAAAUAAUCGCAGUCUAAUAAUCUUCAUAAUUACUAUUUUAUUUUCAAUUAUUUUAUAUGAUUAAUUUUUUUUCACAGCACAUGCAUUGCAGAUAUGAUGGAUCUACUACUAUAUAUGCUCACACCAAGGUGGCCCGGUCAUGGAGAGCCACCGAACAGCCUCGCUUGCAAAAGUGUGAGGAGGCUGAAAGGAGAGACCCAAAGGGUACGGUUCCAAGAAUUCAUCAUUUUUUUUCCUUCAUUUUUUUGGUUAAAGAAGAUAUAUACGUAGAAGAAGAGAGAGAGAGAGGAAUAGAGAGAUGAGAAGGGGAGGAGAUAUGAUGAAGCAGGAGAGACAAGCGUACGCGGCGUUGGGCGCUCUGCUGCUGAUCGCGGUGGGAUACAUGAACUGGAACUCGUGGGGGAA
rnacentral:lncRNA from 1 species